rnacentral:rRNA from 1 species
AAAUUGAAGAGUUUGAUCAUGGCUCAGAUUGAACGCUGGCGGCAGGCCUAACACAUGCAAGUCGAACGGUAACAGGAAGCAGCUUGCUGCUUCGCUGACGAGUGGCGGACGGGUGAGUAAUGUCUGGGAAACUGCCUGAUGGAGGGGGAUAACUACUGGAAACGGUGGCUAAUACCGCAUAACGUCGCAAGACCAAAGAGGGGGACCUUCGGGCCUCUUGCCAUCAGAUGUGCCCAGAUGGGAUUAGCUAGUUGGUGAGGUAACGGCUCACCAAGGCGACGAUCCCUAGCUGGUCUGAGAGGAUGACCAGCCACACUGGAACUGAGACACGGUCCAGACUCCUACGGGAGGCAGCAGUGGGGAAUAUUGCACAAUGGGCGCAAGCCUGAUGCAGCCAUGCCGCGUGUAUGAAGAA